rnacentral:tRNA from 1 species
GCGGGCGUGAUGGAAUUGGUAGACAUAUCGGACUUAAAAUCCGUGGGGCCCCGGCCCGUGUGGGUUCGAGUCCCACCGCCCGCACCA